AGUGUAUAGUAAACUGAUAUAUGGAUGUUCAGAAGUUGAAGAUUUGGUUUGGUCAGUUUAUACAGAUGGAAGAACACAUUCCUUCUAUAGAUAUCUACAGCUAGGACAGGCUUGUAGCUGGAUAACCCUUGCAGUAAUGGCUGUCCAUAUUAUUUUUCAUUUCAAGAAAGGAAUGCAAUUAUUGCCAAGUAGAAAUGACAAUAGUGAGAAUGAGAGUAUUAUUUCUGAUGAUGAAUGUGAUGCAGCAUAUCUAAAUCAUGAUAUUAAUGAUGAAACAGGUUCAGUCCGAUUUCACCACACAAGUAGUAAGAAUAAAGGCUUUAAGAGAAGUGACGAGGCAUUCCUUCUACCUCUUUGAUAAUGUUUAUCAACUUGCAUAUUUUAUAUAAGAAUGUGAUAAUUGCAUUAACACUAUUUAGUAUUUUUAACUUAUAUCUACAAAUUAAGAGCAGUUUGUUUGAGUACAUGUAUGCUUUGUUGCCAUGCCCAAUGGAAAGCACAUCAUUAAAAAAACUUGGGAUCUGUAAGAUUCAUUUAUGCCCCUUGAAGUGAUGUUUAUGUAAUAGUAUCUGAAAAUUCAAAACUUUACAUUCAUCAAAUUUAUUGUAGUGGAAUAUAUCCUUUAUUUAAGCAUGAAUACAAUGGAGCAUUAGAAAAUGAUGUUUUUUCUACUUUUAUUCCAAAUUUGUUGUUCAUUUUUUGUAGGCUGUUCUGCUUAGUUGAUAAUGACAAUCCCCUCUUUAAGUAAAUUAAAUACAGCACAAGAAAUAGGAUCAUCUUCACAGUAGUCUUCCUGA